GACGAACGCUGGCGGCGUGCCUAAUACAUGCAAGUAGAACGCUGAAGGAGGAGCUUGCUUCUCUGGGUGAGUUGCGAACGGGUGAGUAACGCGUAGGUAACCUGCCUGGUAGCGGGGGAUAACUAUUGGAAACGAUAGCUAAUACCGCAUAAUAGUAGAUGUUGCAUGACAUUUGCUUAAAAGGUGCAAUUGCAUCACUACCAGAUGGACCUGCGUUGUAUUAGCUAGUUGGUGGGGUAACGGCUCACCAAGGCGACGAUACAUAGCCGACCGGAGAGGGGGAGCGGCCACACUGGGACUGAGACAGGCCCCAGACUCCUACGGGAGGCAGCAGUAGGGAAUCUUCGGCAAUGGACGGAAGUCUGACCGAGCAACGCCGCGUGAGUGAAGAAGGUUUUCGGAUCGUAAAGCUCUGUUGUAAGAGAAGAACGCGUGUGAGAGUGGAAAGUUCACACUGUGACGGUAUCUUACCAGAAAGGGACGGCUAACUACGUG
rnacentral:rRNA from 1 species